GACAAGGACAGGGUCAGGGACAGGGCCAGGGAAGCGGUCAGGGACAAGGUCAGGGACAAGGUCAGGGACAGGGCCAGGCAAGCGGUCAGGGACAGGGCCAGGGAAGCGGUCAGGGACAGGGACAGGGCCAGGGCCAGGGAAGCGGUUAGGGGAGAAGUCAAGAGAAUAGCCAGGGAUGUGGUCAUUGAAGUGGACAUGGGACUUUUGAUUAAUGCUUACUGGAGAUCUUUUCAAUUCAGUUUUAAUCCUAUGGCAUGGUUUCCUUGUUUGCUCAAACUGUUUUGAGAACUUUUUGGUCUGCUCCACCUCAAAUAAAGAAUUGCUUGAUUUGAA